UACGGAGGGGGCAAGCGUUAUUCGGAAUUAUUGGGCGUAAAGGGCGCGUAGGCGGCUAGAUGUGUCAAAGGUGAAAUCCCUCGGCUCAACUGAGGAACUGCCUUUGAAACUGUCUGGCUUGAGGCCGGGAGAGGGUAGCGGAAUUCCCAGUGUAGCGGUGAAAUGCGUAGAUAUUGGGAGGAACACCAGUGGCGAAGGCGGCUACCUGGACCGGUUCUGACGCUGAGGCGCGAAAGCGUGGGUAGCGAACAGG
rnacentral:rRNA from 1 species